rnacentral:lncRNA from 1 species
GCUGUUGUUUACUACCGGUGUCCCGCCGCCUUGUUGAAUUUCUCGUGCUGUUUUUGCAGAGUCUCGCGAUCUCUCACAGCAUUGCGCUCUCUCACAAGGCACAACUUUUCCAUUACAUGCCCCCCUUUUGAUUACACAUUAAUCAAAAACUAAAAGAACAAAAAUGAUCAAACAUUGCAUUUUGUAAUAAUAACGGCCCUUACAAAUGAAACAGUCAGUGUAUUAACUCAAGAUUCAAAAAUACACCUUCACAUAAAAUGCAAGUAACUUAGGGAAAAAAGGUUGGGAGCCGUUUUGGUGGGUAGUUAUACAAGAAUAAACUUUGUAUGAGCAUGUGAAGAAAAUAAGCCAAUAAUCAUAUUUGUAUCAGAUUAUAUUUUGUGAUUGGAUAACAAACAACAAAGAAAAGGGUAAAAGGAGAAAAAUUAAAAAAAGAUUGUCCCAAUAAAUUACCUACCUAUUGUAGUCUCAGCAUCAUCAUUGUCAUUAUCAGAGAAACCAAGAUCAUCAUCAAAGUCAUUAAGUGAGUUAGUCUAGGGGUUUCUGACCAUAGUGCAUUGUGUCAUUUGAUACAAGAGUUUUGCUGAGGUCGCACGCAUGAUGAGGAUAUUAGGAAAUUUAAACUCAGUGUUGUUGUGAAAUUUACUCAUUCAAAAAUAGUAUGUAAGAUUACACGGAAACAUCAUAUGAUUAAGACAAUAAUUAAAGUAUGUGGUGAGUGAGCUCUGCUGCUCACUUGAGACGUGGAACGCCAUGCAAAAAACAACCAAAAAAAGAUGGCUUGCUCGCAGAUAGUGAGUUUAUUCAGUCCAAAAGUAUAGUGCAGAAAAGAAUCAGGUGCAGUAUUUACAGUUGCUCCAAAACCCCGCGGGUGCAACAGACAAAAAAAGAAAAACAGAAUGAUAAGGACAACUAUGGAUGUGGAAAUCAACCUGAAAAAAAAACUGCUCAAAUAAAAGGAAUGUCUCUUCUCUUCUCUGAGUCAACACUCAGCCUUACAGGAAGCCCUGUAAGGGCUACAGUGUGCCUGUACAUCCUAAUUCUCAAUUCUUAUUUGCCUUCACCUACCAGGGUCAGCAAUACACAGCUUUGUGCAUUCUCCCUCUAUUUAUAUUAGCAGAGUGUUAGCAGAAAAUCUUCAACAUUUAG